CAACGCGGCUGUGAGCUUUAAAUACAACCCGGAAGUUGUUUUUUUUUACAGAGUGAAUGGCGGCUGAGAGGAGUGUGUAUGUUGGUUGGUGUGUGGUGAUUGUGAUUGUGAUUGUGUGAAUGUUUGCGUGUGUGUGUAUCUCUGUAAAAACCUACACAGUGAUCUUAUUUGAUCCGGUCUGAGUCGGCCUCUGCUUGGACUGGAGAUGAUAGGAAAAACGCUCUGCAGCCUCCGUGGCGCUGAGCAGCAGCACGUAUUUAAGCUUAGGGGCCUCCACGCUGCACGGUGUGGUUCGGAUGUGAUGAGUUGAUCAGAUAUACUAGUCCAGGGUGAGUUUGGGGUUCAUCCCCCAAACUUUUCGACGGACACUGAGUAAAGAGGCGAUUCUGAUCUAA